GGUUCGAUGGUGUAGUUGGUUAUCACUUCUGUCUAACAUCCUUGGGAUGGUUCCACAGGCGGUCCUCGGUUCGAGCCCGGGUCGAAUCA